GAUGAAGAACGGAGCGAAAUGCGAUACGUAGUGUGAAUUGCAGAAUUCAGUGAAUCAUCGAAUCUUUGAACGCACAUUGCACCUCUCGGUAUUCCGGGAGGUAUGCCUGUUCGAGCGUCAUUUGUACCCUCAAGCUCUGCUUGGUGUUGGGUGUUUGUUCCGCCUCUGUGUGUGAACUCGCCUCAAAACAAUUGGCAGCCGGCGUACUUGUUUCGGAGCGCAGCACAUUUUGCGAUCCAGAUCAACGUACAGCGGCAUCCAAGAAGCCUUAUUUAACGCUCUUGACCUCGGAUCAGGUAGGGAUACCCGCUGAACUUAAGCAUAUCAAUAAGCGGAGGA
rnacentral:misc_RNA from 1 species